GGCGGGGGCGGUGGCACGUGCCCCCCCGUGGCUCUCGGCGGCGGCCGGGGGCGGGCGCGCUCGUUCGCUCGCUCGGUGGCUCCGGGGGCGGCGGCGGCGCGGGCGCAGCCGUGUGCGAGGCUGCCCGGCGAGGCGAGCCCAGCUCAGCCCGCUGCCGCGCCGCCUCCUGCCGCCGGGCUGCCCCGGUCGCCGCUGCUCGGGAGAUGCCGCUCGGCGGGCGGGGACCCGCGGCUGCCCUGCGCCUCCGCCGCCGCGGCGGGGACCUCUGAGCGCGCUGAGAAGCUGCUGCUGUGAGACCCCGACGGCUCUUCCCGACGGCUCCGAGGGGCGAACACGAGCGUGAGCUCCCGCCUGCCACCGCAGCACGAGGUACCUGCUCUUGGCCUCCGGGUACGUCGCUCCCACCGAGCAGCCCAGAGAGCCCAGCGCGAGCACCGCAGGAGGAGCUGGGCCGAAUAAAAGAGCUCUGUUUGAUGUCUGAAUGCACAGGGGACUCCCCCUCCUCCUCCAACUCCCACCCCUUUUAUUUCGCUCCCUCGCCCUCUCUCCCUUCCUCCUCCCCUUCCUUUCUCUCUCCCCGCUCCGCUCUGGCUCACACACACCCUUUGCAGACCGUGCGCUCAGUGCCAGUGUCUAAUGGCACCGAAGUGAACAGGCGAGCGCUGCUCCCGGGGCGCAGCCGGCCUGCCGCAGAUGAAUCCCUCCUAACUAGCGCCGAGGGGUCGGGAGGGACGGCCGAGGAGGGGAGAGCCCGAGGGGCGAGCCGGGAAGACGAGGAUAGCGGUGUGCGGAAGAGGACGGACCCGCGAGCAGCUUCACGGCUACCUGUCGACACAUGCUGUGCUCCAUGGCUAACUCGGGCUGCCUCCUUGUCUCCAACUCAGGCAUGCUUCCUCACUCUCUCCCCUGUCCUCCAGCCUUCCUCUACCUCC